UACCCCUAUCCUACUUUGACCACCAAAAAGAAAAACAAUGAAAUUUCUUCCUCUCACUAUUAUUCCUCACGUUUCAUUAAAUCUUCUAUUUCGGAUCUCAUACCACUUGAAUUAUGUCUUGGUUAUUGUCUUGCUCAGAUGAUCAGAUCUUAUCUCAUUUGUCGGCUCGGUUUACUUCAUUCCCUGUUGGUAACAAAACAGAUAGCAAGCAAAAUGGGAGUUGCCGAUACCCUAUUCUCCAGCUUGAGGGGGAGUCUCAACGACCAUAUGCUUAGGGAUACUAAUUUGGCUAAUUCUAUUGAGCUAAUUUAGUUUAUUUGGCGAGCUGAUUUGGAUGAUUUCCAGUGUUGGUUUCUAAGAAUGUUUCAUUGAAUUUUAUUUGUUAUGAAGCAUAAUUAUUGGGAUCUCAAGCCCCCCUAUCGUGGAAAAGAAAAUAAAGCAACGAAAAAAAAAA